rnacentral:lncRNA from 1 species
UGGGUUCAGGCUGGAGUCAGAGAGUCGGCCAAGGUUUCCAGAAUAGACGGAGGGUGUCAGCACGGGGGCUUCCCGGAGCCCUGGGGCCCUGCCUCAGGGGAUGAAAAGCAGGGAACGACCGGGCCCACCGCACUCCCCGGGCGCCCCACCAGAUGCUUAACAAAUGCGCCCGGUGUGGAGUCUAACCUCCGAGCCUCCUGGUCCCACUGGAGCCAAAAGGCACCCUUGCAAGCAUCAAGGCCACUCCUCGCGCCACAGACGCAGAACCUAAGGCCGGUGACAGGGAGGGACCUGCGUGCGACGACACAGCCAGCAGCCACCCCGCCGUGCUCCUUCUUGGCGUCCCCCUGCCUUCCAACCAGAGAUGGCGAUGACGGGCGGUCUUCUCCGCCCGAGGAGGGACCAGAGAAGAGGCAGGUGCCCCGUAUCCACCUCCGAGACGUGGUCAGAGCAUGAGAGCAGUGGGUUCUGGCUACUUGGCACAGAAAGGCCCUUUUCCUGGCCAGACAGAGUCCCCACAGCUGUCGGCUGCUACAGACAAUAGGCCUUCAACCGAAGCGCGAGCCCAAGGCUGGGAUGCGGGGCCCUGGGUUCUUUUCCUGGCGCUCUCCCAACUCGCCACGGGACCUCGAACAUGACCUGAGAUCAGGCCUGCAGACGCCCCCUCUGCCCAAGCUUUGCUUUCCAGCCUCAAAUCCCCAGAGAGGCAAAGAGCUGGGAAAGCCAUUGUGAUCACCCCUUUGAGAGAAGCUAAGACCAGAGAGGUUAAAAAAAAGCACAGAGCAAAUCCCACGAAAACCGGCGAAGGCCCAGGUCUCCUGACGCUCAGACCAGCGCUCCCUCUGCUGACCGGCGUGCCCUCCAGGAUGAGGAGCACGUACACCGUCCUCGGGCGGACCCGGCGUUCGUUCACCUGCACAUUUAGAAGCCCCCCUUUGGGGUCCCACACUCUCUUCUCCUCUUGGAACCAGGCUUCUCCUAGAAACGGCACAGCAGGAUGGACCAGGGGUCUCCAGGAGCCCAGGCCCUUCCAGCGUGGCCACCUCAGCCCUUUCUGCCCCAGAGGGAAUCCCACCAAGUCACAACCUCCAGCCAUCCCAGUCCCACCCCAGACCCCAGGGCUGGGCUCCAUCCAGAACCACAGGCUCCAGCCCAGCUCCCUCAGAGGAUCCGGAUUUUUCUUACCAUAAAAGGCCAAGCAUGCCUCUCUUGGUCCCUGCUGCCAGCCCCACUGGGGGAAAGGCCGGUUAUUUUUAGCAAAAGCCAGGGCUUGCUCCUGAGCUCCCGAUGGGGCUUGUCUGAGGCUGUACCCAGGGGCCCCUGCCCGGCCCUCCCCCUUCUCCCCCGGCUGCCUCUCCCCUGCCCUCCUCCUCGCUCCCUGGCUCACUCCCACUCCACCAAUCUCUCCUCCUUUGUCCCCAGGGUCCCCUGGACCCCUCUCGGUCCGCUCCCCUCCCCCCUCCCCCCAGAUCUGGUUUUCGGUGGUUGGAGAAAGUAACGCGUUUGCACCCGCUCGCUUCUUAAACACUAUUUACAACACUAGUUCCAAACAUCCGCCAUCUGGUUCUAGGAAGGGCCCGAAGAUGUUUAGAAAAGGAAGUCGUGGCGACUCGGUCUUCAAAGCCAAGGGAACCCAGAGGCCCUCCUCUCUCCCGCCUUCCCCUCGGGGCCCUCUGCGGAGGCCUGACCCAUCAGGACCCCGUGGAGAGCGGAGGGUCCCUCCCAGUCGGGCCUCCGACGGCCUCCAUCCCUUGGAGCUCGCAGCCUCUCCUCUCCACGCCGUGUUUCCCCCUCUGAACGACGGGCACACGCCCCGGUGCCUCCGGCGCUGAGAUGCCACGUCCUGCUGCUGAAAACCCUGAGGUCCAGGCCCCUGGAGCCUGUCUCGGGCUGAGCAGCGAGGGCCAGAAGGGGCAGGGGAGCGAGGGGCAGCUGGGGGAGCUCCCUCUGACCCUGGGAGCCCAGCGCUCUCCCCAGCACGUGGGGCUGAGGCCCAGAGAGGGGCAGGUGCUCGCCUGCAAUCACACAGCAGGCCUACGCAAGACCUGGCACCUCACCCGCUGCUCUUUCUUCAACACGUUCCAGAGAAAACCAACACGGCUCCCCCCAGCUCCACAACCUGGAACCCGGGAGGUCUUGGUUCUUGGCAAAGUGGACAAGAUAGAAGGGACACCUAGCGUCUUGAUGGCGUUUACCUCAAACAGCGUGCAAGGGACAGAUGCUGUGGCAGAGCGCAAAGAGAAGCCCCUGCUCCGCAGGCACAGCUGCUGGGCCCCCACCGCGCCGCCUACACUGCAAGCUCUCGCCCUGUCUGCAGUCUCCUUUGCAGAAAGACUGACACAGGCUGGACGCUGAGCCAGCCCCGCUCUGCAGAAAGGGCGCCGUGAACAGUCCUACAGAAGGCCUGAAAAUGCGGGCUGGGCUGCCAGGAGCCAGUUCGGAUCCUGACACGUCCCGCCUGUGUGACCCCGAGGGCAAGCUGUAACUACUGGGAGCCUGCCCGGGUUUCCUCCUCUGGGAAGAAAAAUGCUACCCACCGUCUCAGUGAUGGCAAGGACCAGAGGAGAAAACCCGUGUGAAACAAAGCACUCGGCGAGGGUGGCACAUCGAUGCGGCGGCCGUAACCCCCAUCAGCCGUUGUUACGACCAAGGCACCUCCUGACGUGAGCUGGGUAGGUGGCAGCUGUCACCCGUGUCCCUGUUCCUCCAGGCUGCUGGCACUGGCGGGUCAGGGUGACAGGCGGGACUGGGAUCCUGACCCCACCGCCCCGCCGGAGCCCGAGCUGCUCCAGCCUGAGCUUGGGGCUGUGGGGAGGCAGGUCUGGGCCACGCUGCCCUGUUCUUAAGUUUCGCUCGAGGACAGUGUGGGGACGGGUCUGCCGUGCAGCCGAGUCAUGCCGUGUUCAUCGCGGACACACGGCCCCGCUCCUUCGGCGUCUGCUCCCACAUCCAAGAGCCCAGAAUCCUGGGUCAGUGCCCUGUGCUCGCCAGCAGGUCCCCGUCGGCGGGUCCUUCCAUGUGCCCCUGUGGUACGCGGAACGACGGGGCCCCUGCUCUUUCCCACGUUCCCCUUUCUUGGGAUCCUCCUGUCGCAGCCUCAGGCUGCGUUCCCAGGGUUUGCUCGGCAUCCCCAGCAGCCGCCUUCCCUGGGGAGGAAGCAGGGAGCAUGUGAGGCUGGUGAACUCGGCUGGGCUGCAGAGGGGGUGGGAGCGCCCUGGGAACAGAGGCCCAGAGAAGCUGCACGAUGGAGGGGACACGGAGGCCCACGGCGGCCCCAGCCCAGCGUCUGCAUCUUCUCCAGACGCCUCCUCGGACUUUUGCUCCCAUCCUUCCUGCUUCUCUUGCUCCCAAGGCCAUGUCUCCCUGUGGGCCCAGCCCUGAGCUCAUGUUGGAAAUUGCAGCUACUGCCUGUGGCCAGCAACUGGGUUUACACUUGACAUCUAGCUCAUCUGCCCUUCACAAACAAGCCAAGGUUCAGAGAGGUGAAGCCACCAGCUUGAGAUCACACAGCUAGCCAGUGCCGGGGGAGAUUCAAAGACGGGCCUGUCAGGCUCCAGGACUGCCGUCUUCUCAGCUCUUCCCUCCCUGGGCCCAAGGAGGACACGUGUGAGGGAGCCGAGGAAGGGGAUGGGUGCGUGGGUGGGGGCCCCUCCAGAAAGAAAGGGCACGGCUCGGGAGCUUGCAUGGCCCCGACCUUGGCCCUCUCCCACAGCAGUGCCAUCUGGCUCGCAGAUGUGGCGUGUGCCCAGCCCGUCGUGUUUCUUGGAAAUGAGCGAGGCCAGGAGAGGGGACAGGGGCUUUUGCAACGACUGUGACGACACGAGCUUUGUUUUGUGGUCACCCAGUCAGCCGCUACCCAAGCGCAGGAGGCAGCUGGGUUGAGCGUGAGUAGCCCAGGGUUCCAGCCAGCCUGAGACCCUCACCUGGAGUCCCCUGGAUGCCUGCCGAGCCUCUGAGCCUCAGGGAGCAGGGACGUCACCCCCACCUCUGGCCGUGGCUGCCUGUGCUCCUCAGGUUACAGGCCGGAGAGCGUUUCGCAGGCUGAAAGCUUGUGCCGCUGGAAUUGGUCACAGGUGGCUCCAGGGCUGCCCCUUCGGUCUUGGCCACUGUGUUAACCCCAAGUUUCCAUCUGCCCCAAAAUGGCUUCUUUCCCAUGUGUGAGGCCGGAAGUGGGGGCCAUGGGUCGGAGGGGCCUCUGGCAAGUUUCACUCUAGACCCGUGCUUUGGCAGAUGCGGCCUGGGGGCCUGGGCGUGCCGGGCAGGGAAGGAGGCCCCUCUGCUCUUGGAGCUUAAAGCUGAUCAGGGGACCCCCUCUGAACGCUAGGCAAGCACAGCAGAGAUAACGGCAGCCCAUGGCCUGAGGAGCAGGCGCCGUGAGGCCUGGAAAACCUCAGCAGGCUCAGUCGGAGGCUUCUGAGAACCUGGCAGCCGCCCAGGCUCACCCUCCUGAGAACCUGGCCGCCGCCCAGGCUCACCCUCAAUCCGAGCCCAGCAGCCCUGUCAGGACCCAGAGCUGAAAAGUCCAAAAUACUGGAGUUCCCACUUUGGCGCAAGGCGAUCAGCCGUGCCUCUGCAGCACCAGGAUGCAGGCUCAACCCCCGGCCCAGCAAAGUGGGUUAAAGGAUCCAGCAUUGCCACACUGCGGCUUCGAUCCAACCCCCGGCUCAGGAACUCCAUACGCCUCAGGACAG